GACGAACGCUGGCGGCGUGCCUAAUACAUGCAAGUUGAGCGCUGAAGGUUGGUACUUGUACCGACUGGAUGAGCAGCGAACGGGUGAGUAAUGCGUGGGGAAUCUGCCUUUGAGCGGGGGACAACAUUUGGAAACGAAUGCUAAUACCGCAUAAAAACUUUAAACACAAGUUUUAAGUUUGAAAGAUGCAAUUGCAUCACUCAAAGAUGAUCCCGCGUUGUAUUGGCUAGUUGGUGAGGUAAAGGCUCACCAAGGCGAUGAUACAUAGCCGACCUGAGAGGGUGAUCGGCCACAUUGGGACUGAGACACGGCCCAAACUCCUACGGGAGGCAGCAGUAGGGAAUCUUCGGCAAUGGACGAAAGUCUGACCGAGCAACGCCGCGUGAGUGAAGAAGGUUUUCGGAUCGUAAAACUCUGUUGGUAGAGAAGAACGUUGGUGAGAGUGGAAAGCUCAUCAAGUGACGGUAACUACCCAGAAAGGGACGGCUAACUACGUG
rnacentral:rRNA from 1 species